GAUGAAGAACGUAGCGAAAUGCGAUAAGUAGUGUGAAUUGCAGAAUUCAGUGAAUCAUCGAAUCUUUGAACGCACAUUGCGCCUUCUAGUAUUCUGGGAGGCAUGCCUGUUUGAGCGUCAUUAAACCUCUCUCAAGUAUGAUUACUUGGAUGUGAAGGAAGAGUACCUUAAACUUAAGGAGUGUUCUCCUUUGAAAUUGAUUAGCGGAUGGUAAUGUUAUUAAAUCCCUGAUGUUGUAAGAAAUAACAGUGGUUUUGUAGACUAUUAUCUAGCUUUAAAUUAUAAUUUUUAUUAUGGUUGACCUCAAAUCAGGUAAGGAUACCCGCUGAACUUAAGCAUAUCAAUAGCGAGGA
rnacentral:misc_RNA from 1 species